CGCACGACUCUCGACAACAGAUAUCUCGACUCUCGCAUCGAUGAAGAACAUAGCGAAAUGUGAUACCUGGUGUGAAUUGCAGAAUCCCGCGAACCACCAAGUCUUUGAAUGCAAGUUGUGCCCGAGGCCACCCGACCGAGGGCACGCCUGUCUGGGCAUCAUGC
rnacentral:rRNA from 1 species